rnacentral:rRNA from 1 species
GGGUUGUGAGGUUAAGCGACUAAGCGUACACGGUGGAUGCCCUGGCAGUCAGAGGCGAUGAAGGACGUGCUAAUCUGCGAUAAGCGUCGGUAAGGUGAUAUGAACCGUUAUAACCGGCGAUUUCCGAAUGGGGAAACCCAGUGUGAUUCGUCACACUAUCAUUAACUGAAUCCAUAGGUUAAUGAGGCGAACCGGGGGAACUGAAACAUCUAAGUACCCCGAGGAAAAGAAAUCAACCGAGAUUCCCCCAGUAGCGGCGAGCGAACGGGGAGCAGCCCAGAGCCUGAAUCAGUGUGUGUGUUAGUGGAAGCGUCUGGAAAGGCGCGCGAUACAGGGUGACAGCCCCGUACACAAAAAUGCACAUGCUGUGAGCUCGAUGAGUAGGGCGGGACACGUGGUAUCCUGUCUGAAUAUGGGGGGACCAUCCUCCAAGGCUAAAUACUCCUGACUGACCGAUAGUGAACCAGUACCGUGAGGGAAAGGCGAAAAGAACCCCGGCGAGGGGAGUGAAAAAGAACCUGAAACCGUGUACGUACAAGCAGUGGGAGCACGCUUAGGCGUGUGACUGCGUACCUUUUGUAUAAUGGGUCAGCGACUUAUAUUCUGUAGCAAGGUUAACCGAAUAGGGGAGCCGAAGGGAAACCGAGUCUUAACUGGGCGUUAAGUUGCAGGGUAUAGACCCGAAACCCGGUGAUCUAGCCAUGGGCAGGUUGAAGGUUGGGUAACACUAACUGGAGGACCGAACCGACUAAUGUUGAAAAAUUAGCGGAUGACUUGUGGCUGGGGGUGAAAGGCCAAUCAAACCGGGAGAUAGCUGGUUCUCCCCGAAAGCUAUUUAGGUAGCGCCUCGUGAAUUCAUCUCCGGGGGUAGAGCACUGUUUCGGCAAGGGGGUCAUCCCGACUUACCAACCCGAUGCAAACUGCGAAUACCGGAGAAUGUUAUCACGGGAGACACACGGCGGGUGCUAACGUCCGUCGUGAAGAGGGAAACAACCCAGACCGCCAGCUAAGGUCCCAAAGUCAUGGUUAAGUGGGAAACGAUGUGGGAAGGCCCAGACAGCCAGGAUGUUGGCUUAGAAGCAGCCAUCAUUUAAAGAAAGCGUAAUAGCUCACUGGUCGAGUCGGCCUGCGCGGAAGAUGUAACGGGGCUAAACCAUGCACCGAAGCUGCGGCAGCGACGCUUAUGCGUUGUUGGGUAGGGGAGCGUUCUGUAAGCCUGUGAAGGUGUACUGUGAGGUAUGCUGGAGGUAUCAGAAGUGCGAAUGCUGACAUAAGUAACGAUAAAGCGGGUGAAAAGCCCGCUCGCCGGAAGACCAAGGGUUCCUGUCCAACGUUAAUCGGGGCAGGGUGAGUCGACCCCUAAGGCGAGGCCGAAAGGCGUAGUCGAUGGGAAACAGGUUAAUAUUCCUGUACUUGGUGUUACUGCGAAGGGGGGACGGAGAAGGCUAUGUUGGCCGGGCGACGGUUGUCCCGGUUUAAGCGUGUAGGCUGGUUUUCCAGGCAAAUCCGGAAAAUCAAGGCUGAGGCGUGAUGACGAGGCACUACGGUGCUGAAGCAACAAAUGCCCUGCUUCCAGGAAAAGCCUCUAAGCAUCAGGUAACAUCAAAUCGUACCCCAAACCGACACAGGUGGUCAGGUAGAGAAUACCAAGGCGCUUGAGAGAACUCGGGUGAAGGAACUAGGCAAAAUGGUGCCGUAACUUCGGGAGAAGGCACGCUGAUAUGUAGGUGAAGUCCCUCGCGGAUGGAGCUGAAAUCAGUCGAAGAUACCAGCUGGCUGCAACUGUUUAUUAAAAACACAGCACUGUGCAAACACGAAAGUGGACGUAUACGGUGUGACGCCUGCCCGGUGCCGGAAGGUUAAUUGAUGGGGUUAGCGCAAGCGAAGCUCUUGAUCGAAGCCCCGGUAAACGGCGGCCGUAACUAUAACGGUCCUAAGGUAGCGAAAUUCCUUGUCGGGUAAGUUCCGACCUGCACGAAUGGCGUAAUGAUGGCCAGGCUGUCUCCACCCGAGACUCAGUGAAAUUGAACUCGCUGUGAAGAUGCAGUGUACCCGCGGCAAGACGGAAAGACCCCGUGAACCUUUACUAUAGCUUGACACUGAACAUUGAGCCUUGAUGUGUAGGAUAGGUGGGAGGCUUUGAAGUGUGGACGCCAGUCUGCAUGGAGCCGACCUUGAAAUACCACCCUUUAAUGUUUGAUGUUCUAACGUGGACCCGUAAUCCGGGUUGCGGACAGUGUCUGGUGGGUAGUUUGACUGGGGCGGUCUCCUCCUAAAGAGUAACGGAGGAGCACGAAGGUUGGCUAAUCCUGGUCGGACAUCAGGAGGUUAGUGCAAUGGCAUAAGCCAGCUUGACUGCGAGCGUGACGGCGCGAGCAGGUGCGAAAGCAGGUCAUAGUGAUCCGGUGGUUCUGAAUGGAAGGGCCAUCGCUCAACGGAUAAAAGGUACUCCGGGGAUAACAGGCUGAUACCGCCCAAGAGUUCAUAUCGACGGCGGUGUUUGGCACCUCGAUGUCGGCUCAUCACAUCCUGGGGCUGAAGUAGGUCCCAAGGGUAUGGCUGUUCGCCAUUUAAAGUGGUACGCGAGCUGGGUUUAGAACGUCGUGAGACAGUUCGGUCCCUAUCUGCCGUGGGCGCUGGAGAACUGAGGGGGGCUGCUCCUAGUACGAGAGGACCGGAGUGGACGCAUCACUGGUGUUCGGGUUGUCAUGCCAAUGGCACUGCCCGGUAGCUAAAUGCGGAAGAGAUAAGUGCUGAAAGCAUCUAAGCACGAAACUUGCCCCGAGAUGAGUUCUCCCUGACCCUUUAAGGGUCCUGAAGGAACGUUGAAGACGACGACGUUGAUAGGCCGGGUGUGUAAGCGCAGCGAUGCGUUGAGCUAACCGGUACUAAUGAACCGUGAGGCUUAACCUUACAACGCCGAAGCUGUU